rnacentral:lncRNA from 11 species
GUUAUGUUUCUAUGUUUUAAAUGUUUGGAUUCCUUUGUUUUUAAUGUUUAUGCUGUUUUAGUUGAUAUGUGAAUUUUGUUUCAGGAUGAAGUAUAUAUAUGCAGUCAUCAAUAAGUACUAAUAUUUUUAAAAUAUCAAAUGUGCAUGAAUAAUAGGAUUUAUACUCAACCCAUAGCAGGAUGGCCUUAUAUGAGCACACCGUUUUGAUAAAAACAACAAGGAAUCAUGUGUCAUCCAAAGACUGAGAAGUUUGACUUGGCAUGCUCCACCAAAGGUGCUAUGCUCACUUCCAGCCCAAAAAAGAACAAUGGACUUUAUCCAAGAGAAGUCAAGAAAAGGAGGAAGAAGGAGUGCAAGAGAAGCCGAUUGGUCAGAGCAAACAAAGAGCAAUGUAGCAAAUUUGAGAUCACUCCCCACCACAUAUAUAUCUUUCUUCUGCAUUGAUAUACAUUAAUUCAUCCAUUUCAGUGCCGAUUGCAACUUCCUCUGAAACUUCCAAUAAAAAUACCCUUUCAUAAUUGCUUUCAAAAUAACUAGAA